AAAGCUUUUAUAAAAUAGUUUUUUUUCAAAAUUUAGAGACUUACACUUAUGUAAGAACCUCCAAAUGUUUUAGAACCAAGGGCUCAUUGGUCUUGCCUAAAUCGGAGCUGUGUUUUCCUAUUGUCAAUACGUGUAAUUUGCCACUGAUGUUAAAAUCUUAAAAUCCUAAACCCUAAACGCCUUAAAAUCUUAAACUCUAAAUGCUAUAAACCAUAAAUUCUAAAUUCUUUUUUUUAACGCUGAUUUAUUACGAUCUUACAAUUAUGAUAUAGGAAAGAUUACAUAGACGAUUCGACAACCGACAAUACUACCUGCCUUAUGAAGACCUACGCCUAACUGCAUCACCUGAGCCGUCCUAUGAAGAUCCACGCCUGGCCAGAUUUACUUGCACCAUGUUGAAGAUCCCUUGCAAGCUUUUCCUCUGUAGUCUGCAUAAUUGUUUAAUAAACUGCUCUUUCUGGGACUUGAAACCUGGAUUUUCUGUAAUCUGCAAUAAAUUGCAUAGUCUGGGAUUCGAACUCCAAACUUGGAUGUGGAAGCCUUUAAACCUUAACCAAUAGGCUACAGUGCUUCCACUAAAUUCUAAAUUCUAGUGUCAACUUUAACGGCAUCGUUCUUUUUUUUUAGCUAUUUUGUUUUUUUUAAUCAAUAUUUUUUUUAAUUAGUUAUACAUGAUAUUUUGAUUGGUGAUAAAAAGAAUGAAGUGAAUUUAACAAUUAACCGUAUCCGAUAAACACAAGUAUCUUUUUUUGAAAGGGCAAUCAUGUGCACGUCCCUUUCUUUUUUGUUGUCCUCUUGGGUCACAGGACUUAUCCCUAUUUCCUACCAUUAUUCACCACCCCAAUCAUAUUCUUCCAUUCUCAUUUUCAACCUUUAAAUUUGAACUUUCUCACAUUUUUCUUAAAAUUCAAAUCGUAUACAUGGAUCCUUUUAUGAAAUAAAUAAAUAAAUGUAAUGGAUACAUAAUAAAAUUAAUAAUGAUUCUAUAGAAAAAUCCAAGAUCACGACAUCUUGUUCUGUACGGAUAUGCG
rnacentral:lncRNA from 1 species